CAUUAGGUAACUUAAAGCAAGUACUGGUCUCUUAAACCACUCUAUAGUAACUAGCGCCUACUCCUAAUG
rnacentral:tRNA from 1 species